GUUGUUCUGUACCAGCAAAAUUGACUUUCAUGAAAGCUAUGGUCUAUGUAUGCCCUCACAGCUCAAAAUCUCUGGAGGGAACUCAUAACACCUUAGGACAAAAGCUAGGAUACAGGAGCUGCACUGAGGAUGGACGACACAGCUCUGCUGCUCACAGUGCUACGGGAGGUGACAGCCUUGCUGACAAAACUAAUUUGCUGGUGGCACUUGAGGAAAAGAACCCCUUGCAAAUUUCUAAACAGCAGGAAACUCUGUCAGAAAACUCUGAAGUGUCUUACAGGCCAAAAAAGGGAAGAAGGUGCUGGCAGAAGGUGUGCUCAGUCGCUUUCCGAUAUAGAUGCCUAGCCCCAGAGCCAAAACGUGAGACAGGAAGAGUGAUGGGAUGAACCCCUUCGGGAACUCUGCAGAGAAAAUGCCUCCAUUCUUCAUGGCUCCGCUUUUCCUCAAUGCUCAGAGACACGGAGCGCUUCGGGUGUCUGAAGUGGAACUCCUUGGGUGGAAUGUUUUCAGGUCGCCCGGACCAGUCCGAUACCCAAUCUGCACUUUUUUUCUUCAAAGCUUUUACUUCCUUCUCUCCUUCUACAGCUUCUUCUUCUGACUGGGAGCUGUGGUCCCUGCUGGUGUGCAUCUCCACGUCAAACACGAUCUGCCCGUCUUCUUGUGGCGAAGGGCUGUCACAUUGAGAACUGCCUCUUGGACUGCUCUGUCCCGAUUCGCGCUGAGCGUUCCGAAGGAUCUUCUCCAUGUCUCGGUUGUGGAUAGAGGACGAGGAGGGGAUGUGCUCCAGGGCCCCAUUCUUCCCGUUGCCAUUAUCAUUGCCAUUGCUGGUGUUCAUGGGAAGCUCCACCCAGGAACUGUUGAGCCCUGCUGGCGGCAGCAAAGGCUGUUACCCUUCCUCACAGUUGUUGUUAUGCAGGGGAGGCAAGGGCUCCACUAAAUGAGACUACAUGGUGGAGUGGCUGGGAGAACUUCGGUUGCGGCAGGACUGUCUCCGGUUCUCAGACAGCAACGCAACAAGCCGAGUCCUCCGCCCCCUUCUCUGCCUGAUU
rnacentral:lncRNA from 1 species